rnacentral:rRNA from 1 species
UACGUAGGGCGCAAGCGUUGUCCGGAAUUAUUGGGCGUAAAGAGCUCGUAGGCGGCUUGUCACGUCGAUUGUGAAAGCCCGAGGCUUAACCUCGGGUCUGCAGUCGAUACGGGCUAGCUAGAGUGUGGUAGGGGAGAUCGGAAUUCCUGGUGUAGCGGUGAAAUGCGCAGAUAUCAGGAGGAACACCGGUGGCGAAGGCGGAUCUCUGGGCCAUUACUGACGCUGAGGAGCGAAAGCGUGGGAGCGAACAGG